UGUGUGGAACUAAGCGUAAGACAAGUAGGGCGGGACACGUGAAAUCCUGUUUGAAGAUGGGGGGACCAUCCUCCAAGGCUAAAUACUCGUGAUCGACCGAUAGUGAACCAGUACCGUGAGGGAAAGGCGAAAAGAACCCCGGAAGGGGAGUGAAAUAGAUCCUGAAACCGUAUGCAUACAAACAGUAGGAGCCUCCUUGUGGGGUGACUGCGUACCUUUUGUAUAAUGGGUCAGCGACUUACAUUCAGUGGCAAGGUUAACCGAAUAGGGAAGCCGUAGCGAAAGCGAGUCCGAAUAGGGCGAUUCAGUCGCUGGGUGUAGACCCGAAACCAGAUGAUCUAUCCAUGGCCAGGUUGAAGGCACGGUAACACGUGCUGGAGGACCGAACCCACUAAUGUUGAAAAAUUAGGGGAUGAGCUGUGGAUAGGGGUGAAAGGCUAAACAAAUCUGGAAAUAGCUGGUUCUCUCCGAAAACUAUUUAGGUAGUGCCUCAAGUAUUACUGCGGGGGGUAGAGCACUGUUAUAGCUAGGGGGUCAUGGCGACUUACCAAACUAUGGCAAACUCCGAAUACCCGCAAGUACAGCUUGGGAGACAGAGCACCGGGUGCUAACGUCCGGACUCAAGAGGGAAACAACCCAGACCGCCAGCUAAGGUCCCGAAUUAUCGCUAAGUGGGAAACGAAGUGGGAAGGCAUAGACAGUCAGGAGGUUGGCUUAGAAGCAGCCAUCCUUUAAAGAAAGCGUAAUAGCUCACUGAUCGAGUCGUCCUGCGCGGAAGAUGUAACGGGGCUAAGCGAUAAACCGAAGCUGCGGGUGUGCACUUUUAGUGCACGCGGUAGGAGAGCGUUCUGUAAGCCUGCGAAGGUGGCUUGUAAAGGCUGCUGGAGGUAUCAGAAGUGCGAAUGCUGACAUGAGUAGCGAUAAAGGGGGUGAAAAGCCCCCUCGCCGUAAGUCCAAGGUUUCCUGCGCAACGUUCAUCGGCGCAGGGUGAGUCGGCCCCUAAGGCGAGGCAGAGAUGCGUAGCUGAUGGGAAACUGGUUAAUAUUCCAGUACCGUCGUACAGUGCGAUGGGGGGACGGAUCGCGGAAGAUCAUCAGGGUGUUGGAUGUCCCUGUUGCUGCAUCGAAGAUGGCGCUUAGGCAAAUCCGGGCGCGUAAAUCAAGGGUGUG
rnacentral:rRNA from 1 species